GCUGUGUGAUGAUACUCCUGAUGACCGAACAUGCUGUAGUUGGUCCAUAGCAUGUAUAUGAUGUUACAGCAUUGUUUCAAGACGGGACUGAUGGCAGC